rnacentral:lncRNA from 1 species
GCAGCCCAGAGGCAGACGGGGGCUUGGAGGCAGGGUGGGGAGCAAGGCCAAGGCCGCUCUCUGGCCCCCAGUGUCGCAGGAUGACCUCAGCCCUGGCCUGGCCCCAGAGCAGGUUGCUUCACUGCUGGGCCCUGUGGACUUGUUCUCAUGCUUUGUCAGUGUCGAUGUCGAAAGCCCAAAGUGUUUCCCAAGUCCUGCUACCUUGGUAAGACUCA